GUAGCUCAGGUUAAGGAUCUGGCAUUGCCGCAACUGUGGCAGAAUUGCCAAAAGAAGUUCUGAUCUGGGUGUGGCAAAAAAAAAAAAAAAAAGAAAAGAAAUCCAUUCCUUUUUAUAUUUCUAUAGUAGCAUUCUGUUAUAUGAAUAUACCAUUGUUUUAGACAUUCUCCUAUUUAUGAGCAUUUGGUUUGUCCCCAGUUUUUAACUACUAUGAAAAGUGUAUUUGUGAACAUAUCUUAAAACUUUUUCUUAGUCAAAUAUAUUGGAGUAGAAUUGCUGGGUGAUAAGGUUCAGUUUUACAAGAAGCUGCCAGACCUCUGUUGAAAGUGACUGUACCAUUUUACAUUGUCACUGAAAAUGAGUUCCACAUUUUCAUCAAUAUUUGAUGUUGCCAGUCUUUUUAUAACUAAUCAUACUAUUGAAUAUGUAGUUGUAUCUUACUAUGAUUUAAAGUCUAUUUUGUCUAUACUUACAUGUCUUUUAGUAUUAUUAACUUCAGCUAUAAGUCAUAGUGAAACUGUCACUUGUAUGUUCAAGUUUCAAAUCUUAAGAAGCAUCCCAGUGGGAAAAAGAUGAAUACAUAGGUCUAUUCCUGACUCAGAAGAGGGGAGCAGAUCCUGAAUGUAGAAGUGAGGGGAAGCCAGCCUGAAGCCUUCUGGCUUCUGGUGUAUCCCCGCCUUGGCUUUUUCCCACCCACCAUGAGGUUGUCCUGUGCCCGUCGAUGUGGACAGCCCAGGCCAGGCAUCUGAGCUUUGUUCUUGUCCACAUACACAGCUUCCCCUUUGGUCUAGGAAAGCACAUACCAGUGUAGUAAUCUAGAAGUGGGCUGAGUGAGGGGCAGUGGGCAAGGAGUUCUGGGACUGCAGAUACCUGGAUGGUGAGCCAGAAGGGAAGAAUGUGUUUAGGUGGACAUAUCCUUUGACCUCUACCCAAAUCCUUGCUCUUUCGGAGAAGUGGGGCCAGAGGCUGAGAGUCUUCAUACAUCUGAGUAUGGUGGUGGGAGAACAUCAAUUUAAUCUGUUACUAAAGUUUCAUUUUACUACUUGCCUGAGUGAUACCAAUUUCUACCAAAGUUGCUGCAUUGGCAGAUCCUAAAGGGACCUCUCAUUUUUUCAGCCACUUCAGCCUUUUUCCAGUAUUUAGCUGAGAUGAGUGUAAUGUUUUCAGAAGGAAAUCAAGGAGUAACAAUAAACCCACCCAACAAACUCAGAAAAUGCAUAAGCAUAUACAGUUGUUUACCUACCUCAGAGAACAUUUUGUGGCUAUUAUCUACAAAUAUAUUAGUGAUAAAGGCAAAAUACAAGUAACCAGAGAAAAAGAAUUCACAAUCCCCCCCCACACACACACACGGACACAGACACACCCCCUGCCAAACUUUUGCACAUUUGGAUCAUUCAGAGAUGCUUCAGAAGACAUCAGUCAUAGUUCAUUGAACACUGCCUAUAAAUGGUAGUCACUGCUCUAAAGAUUUUACAUGCAGUAUUUUUCUAAUUCUUAUCAUUUUUAUUAUCAUCUUCAUUUUAUAUAUGUGGACAUUGAGGCAUGGUGAGCUUAGGCUAAAAAGAUUGCUGAACUUGCUAGGAAGAGGCAAAGGCAACUUUGAAAGCCAGACUGUCUGGCUGCUGAAUCCACAGCCUGGCCAGGAGGCUAUGCUGGGUAGGUCUAUGUGUUAGGCAUUUUAUGAGGUGUUUUAUAUAGAUUAGCUAAUUCAAACUGUGACAUAGGUAUAAUUAUCUCUGCUUGACAGAUGAGAAAACAGAGGCUAACUAAUUUGCCAAAAUUAUAAAACUAAUAAAUGACUGAGCUGGAUUUUACUAACUUGCCAAAAUUGUGUAACUAAUAAGUGACUGAGCUCAGUUUCAAACUUGAUUAAAUUAUAUUCGGGCCAUAUAGCUUAUGAAGGCAACAUGUACAUUUUUAAGAAUGUUUUAAAAAGUUUUUUUGUGUGUGUUUUCAUUUUCAAUUUACAUAUAAAAGAGUAAAAUUCAAGUAUCUGUGCAUUUCUUUUACAUGGAACACCUCAUCCUUUAACAAUGUGUGAUAAAUGAGGCAUUACUGUAACUUGCUACACACAGGGAAGAUUUGAUUUGAUUUCCAGUCCUGAAGCCUAAACCAAACCUAGGAUUUUGAAAGUAGUGUUAUAAUUGGCAUUAACUGCAUUUGAUUUUUCUCUGGGAGGGAAAGUUCUCCUUCUUAGUCAUAGAGAACAAUAUAUCCAUUAAGUAUCAAUCAUGUUAUUUCAUUUCUGUAUACAUCUAUGGAUAAGAUGCAGUGAUUUCAUAUUUCCCUGCUAAUGCAAUAAAAUCUGAAGAAAAUUAAAGAAAAAUAUCUACACCAAAUCAUUUAAUAUGCAUUCCUCAAUGCAUUCCACAGCUUGGAGCACAUACAGGAAAGUAUGGAAAAAGUGACUGCCUGAGAGCUCUCCUACUUAGAAAGAUUUAAUUUUCCUUCUGAGCCUGUGGUGUGAGCAUAGGUGCCGCAUUUAUUGUACAUCUGUCACACGUUUUCAAGUUGCCACUGAAUUGAGCAUGACUAAUUAUUCUGGUUAAAUUAUGCUUCUCAGGCUUCACAGUAUAAUUCGUUUUUUCACAGAUCUUAAAAAUACUAGAAGGUCCGAAGAGAGAGUCCCUUCACAAAUAAGGAGUCUCCGGUAGCAUCCUAGGGCUGGUGAUUGGAAAAAGAAAAGCAAACACAACUACAGGAAACCUGAUGGCUCCUUUAAAAUAAAUACCUCUGUGGAAUUAUCACUUCUGAUGAGAAUGCUGUAUCAGUGUGGAUCUAGGUUGACUAAGCCUGGUGAGGUGGUUGUGUGUGAAUAUUAGUGAGCCUGCUUUACUUCCCUUAAACCCUCCACACAACCAUGCUAUAAAAUAUCAGUGCAUAGUAUUGCAACAUUUAUCUGUACAGUUUGUUUAGCUUCGGAACUUGACUUUCCAAGAACGCUUCAGCAGUGAAUGAGAGGCACAUGUGAGAAUGGACCCCACACAGCUGCUGGCAUUGAGGGUGCCUGGGCACAGCCCAUACCGAGCUAGAAGUUGCUUCCACAUAUUUGGCAGUCUAGCUGAGGCAUGAAGCCUCUGGCAACCUGGCCUCCCCAGACCCUUUCUUAAAUGAUAGGGUCUCCUUGGGAAGGUGGUAGCCAACGUUGCCAUUGUCAGAGGCAAGGCUUAGAAAUGAGUUUUCAGAACAAAGGAAGAUGAGAAGAAAAAAAAGGGGAGGGAGUUUGUGUGGCUUCUUUGCCAGAACCAACAGUGGAUGGAGAAAUCCUUUAACUUGCUGGUUUGGAAGAAAGGGACUUCAAGGUGAAGAAUAUUUUUCUUUGGUUCACUGUUUGAACUCUGCCCUGCUUUGAUUUGUGAUUUAUAUUUCACUUUGGCUUUUUUAUUGUUGUUUGCAGCUAUUUUUUUUAAGAAACAAAUCAAUAGGAAAUAAAAAGCAAUGAUUACCCUCUAGACUAUAAUAAAGAUUGUGUAGAAAAUACUUUUUAAUUAAGUUUAAAAAAAUAAUGGGAAGGUGGAAUACACCAUCUGAAGGAUAUGGUGUGUGCUAAAGAACAUGCUAGAUAGUUAAUACAUGUUAUCCAUUUGGUGCUCAUAAUAACACCAAUAAAAUACUUACUUUCAGCUCUGUUUUGCUGAUAGAAUUAAGGUGCAAAGAGGUAAAGUGAUAUGCCUAUAGUCAUGCAGCCACAAAUGUGACUUGACCUUUGUCCAAAAGAGAAAUUCAUUCUCUGUCAUCACACAGGAAAGCAAACUGUGUGCAUUUUCCCUCAUUAUAACUUAUUAAGUAAGUUUGUCUUGUGCCAAAUAAGAUUUAAAUAUUUCCCAGAAAUUUCUGUUGUCACUGCUAUACUAUCUUUAACAGUAUUUCUGUAGAGAUAUGUUUCCAACCUACUUGGUCACGUGACUAGAAUUAAACAGUAUUACACAGAUUCAAAAAAGAAUUAAAUUAGGAGACUCUAGAGAUUGUUGAGUCUUGCAAUGUCCACAAUUGUCACUAGCCACAUGGUGCUAUUUACAUUUAAACUGAUGAAAAUUAUAUGAAAUGAGAAAAAAACUUAUUCCUUUGUAAAACUAGCCACAUUUCAAGUGCUUUAAUAGCUCCAUGUGGCUAGUGGCUACUGUAUGGGACAGUGCAGCUUAUGGAGUAGUUCCAUCAUUGUAGAAAGUUCUGUUGAGUAUUAGUUUCUCUGUUCCUCACCACUUUAUGUUUCAGACGAAGAAGCAGAAUUCCAGAGUGUUAGUUUGUAUAACAAAUAAUUGCUGUGUUUUCUCAUCCAGACUUCUUAAUAUGAGAAAAAAAAUAAACAAUUAUAGGAAGAAUUGCAGGAAAUUUGUUUGUGAUGUGCCAAAGUUAGGGGAAAAGAUGCUUUUUAUUUCAAGAUUUUUUUUUUUUUUUUUUUUUUUUUGUAAAUUGUAGGUUUGAUGGCCAAGGUAGAACUCAUCUGCCCCAAAUCAUAUAUCUUAUGAAACUGUUUUACAAACUUAAGAGGACCAAAAAAAUCCCUCCAAAACAAAAAACUGCUAUGAAACUUUAAUUUCUUUAUCUUAAAUGCAAAUAUCUGUAAGAAUUUAUCUCUAAUUUUUAAGUGAUGGUCAUUUAAUAAGGAAUGUUUUUCAAGUGCCCAUUUUGUGAAAAAGUAAUCCGUUCAAUUAUGCUUAAUGAAAUUUAAAAUGGAAACUACCAGUGUAUUUUGUGAAAAGGAAAAUAAUUUCCAAAAUGUUUUAAACUUUAUUUCUGACAGUAUUUGGAGGUUGUAAUUUCUUCACCGACUCUUUCAUAUAUUUAAUCAUAUAUAGAUUAUGCACCUAAAUAUAUGUGUUUUCAUUUGGACCUAAAAAUUCAUGUAAACAAUUGCAAAUACAUAUCAGAACAAUUGACUGAGACCCAAAAACCCAAAAGGUUUUUCUCCAUACAUAUUUAACGUUAACACGUGGAAUCACUUUCCUUAUAGUGGUUACAGCUGACUUUAAAUAAUACUCCACUGAGUCCUUGCCUUAAUACUUGUACUUCUAUGUUGUAAAUCAUAUUCAUUUAUUAAGAAGAAUUCAAACUGUGUUAGUUAUGAAUUUUCCUCACAGUAUUCUCCUGACUUAGGAAAACAGCUAGCUAAAUUCUGAUCCACAGGAGAGAAAAUGAAGCACAACGCUGUGAUUGUCUGAGAGCUUAUUAGUAUACCAAAACAAGCAGCAACUUAGAUGUCAGGUAACCUGGAUCCAGUGGCUCACAGAUGAUCAGAAACUACGUCUCUUAAUUUUCACACGUGUAAAAUCAGUAUUGCGGGUGCAUUUAGCACUUAGGAUAUACACCAGAGUGAAUUUUCUCUGCUAGAUUCUGUGAAGUAGAGUAUGGGAUGAAGUCGUAACAUGAUUAUAACAUUUGAAAAUACAGAAUCUUUCACCUUAACCAUCCCGGCCCAUCCAUCUCCACCAUUAGGGGGAUCUCUUGAAAGAGGUUAAACAAACGUGGAUUUAAAUCACCACCCUUCAGUUCUGAAGUUUCAGAUUUUUUAAAGUUAAUUUCCCACAUUGCUUCUGUAUCAUCCAAGUUCUUAUUUCUUCUCUUUGUUUUAGUUUCUUUUAGCUUUCUUUCCUAUUAGGAUUUUUUCCUAAACUGAUCUGCAGUUCUUGGCAGUCAUCUUAUGUUAGAGAGGUGCUGUGAAAAAUGGAUCCAAAAGGCAGAGCCUGCAUAUUAGUAGGUUAUUGUAUGGUCAGGCCACCCAAGAUGUGUUGCCAAAAUUCAGCCUCUGUCCAUCAGUGCCAGAUACAAAUGCAGAGAAAGACUUUUGGUGAAGGAGAAAAAGAUAGCUUUAUUGCUUUGCCAGGCAAAGGGGGCCACCACAGACUAAUGCCUUAAAGACUAUGCCCUCUUUGGGAAAGAUUAGGAAGUGGCUUUAUAGUUUGGGGGGUGGAAAAUAGGGCUGUAGAUAAGGAUCGGGGUAGAGGCAAGCUUGCAUUGUUUCUCAAAGCUGGUGUUAAGUGAUCCCAGGACUGGUUCUGAUGGUUCUCCGAUGAAUGAUUCAGCAAGUAGUUUUUCCAUUUGUUGGGGGUUAUGGUCUGAAGAAAGGCCCAAAGAUAUUGUCAUGUAUAUUCCUUGAGGAGGAACCAGGACCCUGCCCCAAGGCUGCACUAUUGUCUCCUGACUGCUCCUCCCUGGUCUCUAUUUCCACUCCCUUCCCUGAUUAGCAACUGCCCUUUGGAACUCAGGGAAGGUCAUGAAGGCUUUAGUUUAUUCCCUAAAAACAAGAAAUUGGGAGGACACAGAAAGGCUUGUGUGUUCAGGAACCCCAUAGGGCCCUGCCCAGUUACAAAUGGAUGACCUCUUGUUCUCCUGUGCCUCCAUUGCUUGACCAGUGCCUGCUUCACUUAUACCCUCCUCAUAGGAUUGACCUUCCUACCUACUUGACCCUGCUGCAGCUAAUAACUGUUCUAACUUUAGAUCAGAAAAUCUCCACCUGUUAGUUUAUUAAAGGGACCAGGAGGGGUGUGCCCGUCUCCUGGUUUCCCUGGUAACUGAUUAGCCAACCUGAUAUCAGUUCCUAUAAAUGGUAAGCUCCUCCUACCCUUGCAGCAAAGAUUGCCACUUUGACCUGUCUGCAUAUCGUCUGCCAGCUCUGUGGCACACAGGGCUGGGUAUCAUUCUAGGACCUUGCCUCAGGCAUGUAAGUAAGAUCUCCAUCCAUUAAACCAUUGUUGUUUCUCUGGCUGACUCUAGGCUCCAACUUCAGUCUUGAAGCUGAAUAGGUACAGGACUUGCAGGCCUGCAGGGUUCAUUCAGCUCAAGAAUUGGUAAAGCCAGCCAGGAGCCUGGGAUACUGCUGAGGUUUUGAGAAAUAAGAAAUAGGAUAGAAAGUUGUGGGGGCCAUUCACUUAGCAUGAGGUGCCUGAAAGUUAGGGGGGUAAUCCAAAGUGGUCAUCUCCUAAUGUGGGGCUGAAAAAUUGUGAAGCAAAUCCCCAGGUGGCUGUCCACUGGUAUGUGGGGCCCUGUGGUGGCUGUCCUUGAUAAAUGGGGGCUGUCCUUGAUGAAUGGGGACCACCAAUAGAGUACAGAGGACUCAAAGAUACUCCAAGAGCUAUUGUAGAGAUAAUGGCCCCCGGUAACAAUGGGGAAAAAGAGGCUUCAAAAUGAGGCAGUGGCCACAGCUGUGGGCUGGCCAUUGCUUUUUAUAAUAAAGUCCGCAGAGGCUGAGCUAACUGAUAACAGCUGAGGCGAAGGUUAACUUGAAUGCUGGUUCAUGCUCCUCUGAAAGUGAGGCAUGUGAACGUGACUGAUGUUAUUGUUGUCUAUUAUUGUGGCUUGUUAAACUGACCUGGCUAUUUAGAAAUGGGAAAAAAAAAAAAAA
ensembl:lncRNA